ncrna:unclassified sequences Mu-gpT-DE RNA
CCCUGACAGGAGCAAUCCCGCGCCUGACAUUAGCCACGACAGGAGAUCGACAUG